rnacentral:rRNA from 1 species
AUUGAACGCUGGCGGCAUGCCUUACACAUGCAAGUCGAACGGCAGCACGGGUGCUUGCACCUGGUGGCGAGUGGCGAACGGGUGAGUAAUACAUCGGAACAUGUCCUUAAGUGGGGGAUAGCCCGGCGAAAGCCGGAUUAAUACCGCAUACGCUCUACGGCUGAAAGCGGGGGACCUUCGGGCUUCGCGCUUUCGGGUUGGCCGAUGGCGGAUUAGCUAGUUGGUGGGGUAAAGGCCUACCAAGGCGACGAUCAGUAGCUGGUCUGAGAGGACGACCAGCCACACUGGGACUGAGACACGGCCCAGACUCCUACGGGAGGCAGCAGUGGGGAAUUUUGGACAAUGGGCGAAAGCCUGAUCCAGCAAUGCCGCGUGUGUGAAGAAGGCCUUCGGGUUGUAAAGCACUUUUGUCCGGAAAGAAAUCCAUGGCCCUAAUACGGUCGGGGGAUGACGGUACCGGAAGAAUAAGCACCGGCUAACUACGUG